rnacentral:rRNA from 1 species
UACGUAGGGACCGAGCGUUGUCCGGAAUCAUUGGGCGUAAAGAGCGUGUAGGCGGCCACUUAAGUCCUGCGUGAAAUCUUGCGGCUCAACCGCAAGCGGUCGUGGGAAACUGGGUGGCUAGAGUGCGGGAGAGGAGAGUGGAAUUCCUGGUGUAGCGGUGGAAUGCGCAGAUAUCAGGAAGAACACCCCGUGGCGAAGGCGGCUCUCUGGAACGCAACUGACGCUGAGACGCGAAAGCGUGGGGAGCAAACAGG